CUUGCUCUCUGGGUGACGAGCGGCGGACGGGUGAGUAAUGUCUGGGAAACUGCCUGAUGGAGGGGGAUAACUACUGGAAACGGUAGCUAAUACCGCAUAACGUCUUCGGACCAAAGUGGGGGACCUUCGGGCCUCACGCCAUCAGAUGUGCCCAGAUGGGAUUAGCUAGUAGGUGGGGUAAUGGCUCACCUAGGCGACGAUCCCUAGCUGGUCUGAGAGGAUGACCAGCCACACUGGAACUGAGACACGGUCCAGACUCCUACGGGAGGCAGCAGUGGGGAAUAUUGCACAAUGGGCGCAAGCCUGAUGCAGCCAUGCCGCGUGUGUGAAGAAGGCCUUCGGGUUGUAAAGCACUUUCAGCGAGGAGGAAGGGUGGUGUGUUAAUAGCGCAUCACAUUGACGUUACUCGCAGAAGAAGCACCGGGCUAACUCCGUGCCAGCAACCGCGGGUAAUACGGAGGGUGCAAGCGUUAAUCGGAAUUUACUUGGGCGUAAAGCGCACGCCAGGCGGUUUUGUUUAA
rnacentral:rRNA from 1 species